CCAUAUAUCCAUUGCCCACCCCUACCUCUCAUCGUUCUAUGAAACCCUGGAGAGAGAGACAACAAAUGCUGCGAGAGAAAAUUCGUUUACACAGAGAGAAUGAUGGCUAAACAUUCAAACCCAGAUUCCCAUUCUUCACAUUCUCAGGUUCUGGGUACUGCGAGCUCGCUUUCAUUUCCUUCUGAGCCUCCUGACAUCAGAAACAGGUUCUCAAGCUAUGUGUAUGAGUCUCCGGAAUUCAAUACAGGCGACGAUUUCGAAGGCUAUCCUUUUAGAAGAAGUGAAUUUGUGGAAGAGGGGUUUAACUGUGAAGAGAAGAGAAUUUGGGGGUAUUUAGGAAAAUUAGAAACAAGGAUGAAUUAGUUCUUGGUGAGAAAACAGCUCCAAUUGGGUUUGUGAGAUCUAACGACACUGCUGAAUGUUAUAAUCAGGGAAACAAGAACGCGAGUCAGAGCCCCCAGACAUUACAAGAUGGUUUUCAAGCUAUGCGUAUGAAUCUCCAGUAUUGGAUACGAGUGAUGAUUUCAAAGGUUCUAUUUUUACAGAAAGUGAAUGUGACAGGGUGGGGUGUAAUGCUGAAAACUGCAGCAAAGAAAAAGGAGAGAAUUUGAUGGACUUUAGAAGAAUUACUAAAAGGGAUCAUCUAUUGGCUGCUGAUGAGAAGAUAUCUUCAAAUGGCAUUAUUAAUGUAACAGCUCUGAUAGGGAUAACGAGUAUGAUCACCGCCAGUAUAAUAGCAAGGUACUCUAGUUCAUCUUUUUUGUAGUUUUUUUUGUUCUCAGUAUUUUCAUUGUUGUUUAUAGCUAGAAAAAAUUCUGAAACAACUAAUGGCAAAAUCACAACUCUUAAUUGUUUCAGGAAUUUAAAUUUUGAAACUUGAACAGGAUUGGAGAUGGCCUAAGGAG